GCCCCGCCCCACCUGCUGUCCGGCCUUGCCCCUGGGCAGUGCGGCCCCUCCCCUUGCGUGAUCUGGCGUCACUGGUCACGUGAUGGCAGCGCAGGCUUGAGAAGGGGCGGCGGUGAGUGUUCCUGAGGCUGGCCCAGUCUGCAACUCGCGUGACUCCCCUUGAGUGAAGCGCCCUGAGCCGUGAUGGCGAGGGCCUAAGGGAAGGCGCUGACGGGCCUAGGGCCGCCUUCCCUGGCUGCCCUCGGCCUCCCAGUCCGGAGCUCCUGCCCCUGCCGUUGCUAGGCGGCCGCCUCUGGGCGCAGAGGGCGGGGCAGGCUUAUGGGGAAGGGGCUGGCUGCCUGUGCGUGGGAGGGGCUGUGACUUUGGAGCAUACCUGUGCCAGGCAGAAGGCCAUGGAGCAGUACUGCAUCUUGGGCCGCAUAGGGGAGGGCGCUCAUGGCAACUUUUUCAAGGCCAAGCACGUGGAGACUGGAGAGAUCGUGGCCCUCAAGAAGGUGGCCCUACGGCGGCUGGAGGAUGGCAUCCCCAACCAGGCCCUGCGGGAGAUCAAGGCCCUGCAGGAGAUUGAGGACAGUCAGACCUGAAACCAGCCAACUUGCUAAUCAGCGCCUCACGCCAGCUCAAGAUAGCAGACUUUGGCCUGGCCUGGGGCCUUUUCCCCAGAUGGCUGCCGCCUCUACAUGCACC
rnacentral:lncRNA from 1 species